AUUGAACGCUGGCGGCAGGCUUAACACAUGCAAGUCGAGCGGAGAGAGGUAGCUUGCUACUGAUCUUAGCGGCGGACGGGUGAGUAAUGCUUAGGAAUCUGCCUAUUAGUGGGGGACAACAUUUCGAAAGGAAUGCUAAUACCGCAUACGUCCUACGGGAGAAAGCAGGGGAUCUUCGGACCUUGCGCUAAUAGAUGAGCCUAAGUCGGAUUAGCUAGUUGGUGGGGUAAAGGCCUACCAAGGCGACGAUCUGUAGCGGGUCUGAGAGGAUGAUCCGCCACACUGGGACUGAGACACGGCCCAGAAUCCUACGGGAGGCAGCAGUGGGGAAUAUUGGACAAUGGGGGGAACCCUGAUCCAGCCAUGCCGCGUGUGUGAAGAAGGCCUUAUGGUUGUAAAGCACUUUAAGCGAGGAGGAGGCUACUCUAGUUAAUACCUAGGGAUAGUGGACGUUACUCGCAGAAUAAGCACCGGCUAACUCUGUGCCAGCCGCCGCGGUAA
rnacentral:rRNA from 1 species